AGAGUUUGAUCCUGGCUCAGGAUGAACGCUGGCGGCGUGCUUAACACAUGCAAGUCGAACGAACCUUCGGGUUAGUGGCGGACGGGUGAGUAACGCGUGAGAAUCUGCCCUCAGGAGGGGGAUAACGGCUGGAAACGGCCGCUAAUACCCCAUAUGCCGAGAGGUGAAAUGAAUUUCGCCUGAGGAUGAGCUCGCGUCUGAUUAGCUAGUUGGUGAGGUAAUGGCUCACCAAGGCAUCGAUCAGUAGCUGGUCUGAGAGGAUGAUCAGCCACACUGGGACUGAGACACGGCCCAGACUCCUACGGGAGGCAGCAGUGGGGAAUUUUCCGCAAUGGGCGAAAGCCUGACGGAGCAACGCCGCGUGAGGGAUGAAGGCCUCUGGGCUGUAAACCUCUUUUCUCAAGGAAGAAGAACUGACGGUACUUGAGGAAUAAGCCACGGCUAAUUCCGUGCCAGCAGCCGCGGUAAUAC
rnacentral:rRNA from 1 species